UACGAAGGGGGCUAGCGUUGUUCGGAAUUACUGGGCGUAAAGCGUGCGCAGGCGGCUUCUCAAGUCAGGGGUGAAAGCCCAGAGCUCAACUCUGGAAUUGCCUUCGAUACUGCGGGUCUCGAGUCCGGGAGAGGUGAGUGGAACUCCUAGUGUAGAGGUGAAAUUCGUAGAUAUUAGGAAGAACACCAGUGGCGAAGGCGGCUCACUGGCCCGGUACUGACGCUGAGGCGCGAAAGCGUGGGGAGCAAACAGG
rnacentral:rRNA from 1 species